AGCGGAGUGGAGCAGCCUGGUCAGCUCGCAAGGCCCAUAACCUUGAGGUCGCAUGGUUCAAAUCCUGCCUCCGCUA
rnacentral:tRNA from 1 species